GAGAGAAAGUAGCCAGCAGAGGAAGGGUGUGAAGAUUUAGGAGAGGAAAUGAUUGUUCAUUUGUUUUCAAAAAGCUGAAUACUUAUCGUGUGCCUGGCCUUUUUCUAGGAUCUGGGGUUCACACCAUGUGUUAUCUCUUCUGCAAGGACAGUUCAACUCAUCCCCUAGUGAAGAGAAAUCAGAUUUUUCUUUGCAUCCCAUUCAGGUGUAGGAACUGUUCCAUACCUCUGAAGGGACUUUACUUAACCAGAGUAAUAAGUUAGAAAUCAAAAGAAAUUAGAGCUGGAAGGGACCUUAAAGACCACAGUACUUAAUUUUGCCUAAUAUUUUACAUUGAAUGUAAGAAAAAUUUAUUGCAGAGCCCAUUCUCUUCAGAGUUCCUUCACUGAACUUUCUUUAUGUCUUCAAUCCAGUGGGUCCAGCUUGUAGAUUUUGGCCUCCUCCUAAAUUUGCUUCUUCAUCCAUAUUACAUUUUGCCCGGACUAUGGCAGAAGCUCCUGGGUGGUUUCGUGGCCCCUGGACUCAGUUCCUCUAAGUUCAUCUGCCUACUGGGGUUGAGUGAUCUUCUAACAUGAAAAGAUACGCCUAAAAUAAUGCUGCUAAUGGCUUGCCCACACAGAGUUAGUGCAUACUAGCCGCCCAGUCUGUGCUCUGCCCAGAGGCGUGUAGUCUGAACUGUGCUCUACCGAGCCUCCUGGGGCUCUUUGGCCCUGAGGAAGGGGAGCUUUUUGUGAUCACUCCCUUUAUCUAAUUGGUCCUUCAGCAGCGGGGAGCCUUUCUCUAAUCAGCGGAGGCACCCUUACUCAGCCAGUGGUAGCCCCGGGCCUCAUCACCUGUGGGAUACAAGCCAUGCUCUCUCCCAGGCUUGAUUCGACUGACAUCUCUAUUUUCUGUCCCUUCUCACACUUGGACCCCUGGCCUUUAGUCAUCGCCACCUGCAGUAUUUACAGUGACCAGCAGGAGUCAGGCUUGAGUGUCUUUGCACAGGUGCUCCCUCUGCAGUUAAUGCACCUCCUCCUCCAACUCUGCAUAGCCUCAUCUUUCUUGAUUGUACUUCAGGUUUAUCAUGAAGCCGUCGCUUAGACAUAACUUUUUGCCUCCAUAGGAACCUCUGUUCAUAAAGGUUAUGGUUCUUUAUAUCAUGUGAUUGAAAUUUUGAGUUUAUACAUGUCCCUCCUUAAUGAGGCUUUAAGGGCAGGAGUCGUUUCUAAUCCUUAGCACAGAGCAGAUGUGUUUUUUCUUUUUAGCUGCUUUUUAACGGUGAUAAAAUGUAUGGUUUAAAUCACUCAUUUUACAAUAAUUUUGCUUUAGGUUUUGACAGAAAUAAAGUUUCCAGAAGUUGUGUUCCUGCAAUAAGAAAUAAAGAUGUGACCUUCCAGUUGUGUAAAGCUCUUAGAUGCUGUGUAAGUGCGUCAGGUGCGCUAAGGAACCUGGAGCUAGGUGGGCUAGUUGUGAGAGGGAGAGACGUAACUAUGUUAACAAAGGUUCAUCAGAAUUUCCUGUGACUGUGACAGUAGAGAGUCCUUCCUCCUCAGAAAUUGAAGAGGUCGAUGAUUCCUCAGAAAGUGUUUAGGAAGAGCCAGAGAAAAUUUGUUUGAAACAAGAAGCAUUGCCGGUACAAAGGAAAAACUGGAGGAGUGCCUAAAGCAGUUAAAGGAGGAAAGACUAAUAAGACUUAAGGCUGAUAAAUGAGUCAAUGAAGUAAACAAUUUCUUAUACUUUUGGGAGUGUUUUGGUUUUAUUUCGAUUUGAUUUUAAUCCAUAUACACAUAGUUUGUAAACUUUAAAACUGUAAUAUGUUGCAAAUUGGUUGUAUCAUAUGGACUUUUGCAUUUACUGGUAUUUAGUGAUCGUAUGAUCUAUAUUCCAGAAAGCAUGUUUUUAAAAAUGUGAAAAUCUCGUUUUGUGUGUGUGUGUGUGUGUGCGCACGUGCGCACGCGUGCUUUUAUAUGACAUUAGCUUAUUUCCUGUUCAUGAUUCUUUGAUUCAAGAAGGCACUUUUUGUGCAUAUACUAUAUAUACAGUAGCAUAAAAGACAUAAUGAGACUCUCCUGGCAAUGAAUUAGGAAAGUGAAUCAUUUAAAUAAAUUUAAGAUAUUGGAAAACUUCUAAGAAUGUAAUGAAAGAUAAAAUUAUAUACUAUAAGAAUUACAUCAGGUAAUGUGCAUGAAAGCAGGGCAUAAUCUAAAAAGUUCUAUCUAAAUAUACUUUAUCAGAGGUUGAGCGUAGGGAGGAAUUUUUCAAAGUGCAUCCACUGGAUUGGCGGACACUCAUUCAAUAAAUGGUGAGCACCUGCUUAUAUAAGGCAAAAGGGGCAUCAUGAACAUAACAGCCUUUCUGAGAAGUACUGGAGUUGAGCUUAUAGGGGGCUUUAAGUGCAUAGGUGAUGAGCGGAAGGGGAAGAGUGCACGGGAGUGAACAUUUUGAAGGAGCCAAAGAAAACAUUGGUGAUCGUACAUUUAAUAAAUUGGGUUUGGUAUGAUUUAGGACUUUUAAACGUAAGCAUUAGAUAUUUUGCUCGCUAAAGUUAAUUCUUAACAUCCAGCAGAGUUGUAAUAUGUUUUGUUCAGAUCAGAUUCUAUAAUUUACUUUCUAAUUUAAGGGAAACUUAAAGCAGGUAAUUUUCUAAUGUGGAAUGAGGCUCCAUUAUGAAUUGAACCAGUUAGAAAUGUGAUCUUUUGUGAAAGAUCGUUAAUAAAACGAUAACUUUGGUUUAUUUAUAUACCACCUAAGCAUUAUAUAGGAAACUUUGUUGGGUGCCUGGGGGUUUUGGUUAUUAUGUGAUAUGGUCUCUGUCUUUACUGGUGGAGAGUUAGCUUAAUUACAGAUUAAUUACAUUUUGAGUGUUUUAGUUUUGUUCCUUGAAACUAGGCAAGACUACUUUUGAUGACAAUGAGAAAAAAUCAUGUCAGACAUUUUCCGUCUUCUU